rnacentral:rRNA from 1 species
GAUGAACGCUGGCGGCGUGCCUAAUACAUGCAAGUCGAGCGAAUGGAUUAAGAGCUUGCUCUUAUGAAGUUAGCGGCGGACGGGUGAGUAACACGUGGGUAACCUGCCCAUAAGACUGGGAUAACUCCGGGAAACCGGGGCUAAUACCGGAUAACAUUUUGAACCGCAUGGUUCGAAAUUGAAAGGCGGCUUCGGCUGUCACUUACGGACGGACCCGCGUCGCAUUAGGUAGUUGGGGAGGUAACGGCUCACCAAGGCAACGAUGCGUAGCCGACCUGAGAGGGUGAUCGGCCACACUGGGACUGAGACACGGCCCAGACUCCUACGGGAGGCAGCAGUAGGGAAUCUUCCGCAAUGGACGAAAGUCUGACGGAGCAACGCCGCGUGAGUGAUGAAGGCUUUCGGGUCGUAAAACUCUGUUGUUAGGGAAGAACAAGUGCUAGUUGAAUAAGCUGACACCUUGACGGUACCUAACCAGAAAGCCACGGCUAACUACGUGCCAGCAGCCGCCGUAA